rnacentral:tRNA from 1 species
UUAAUUGAAACCAAAAUAGAGGUAUAUUAUUGUUAAUAAUUUAAUUGAAAGUUUUCCAUUCCAAUUAAA